rnacentral:lncRNA from 1 species
UCAGAUACUUGCCUUUUGCCAAUGCACAAUAGUUUACCUUCACGGAAUCUUGUGGGAAUACCUUGAUUAUCAGUACAUGCCAAAAAUUGUUAGUGUAGGCAAAUAAAAAAAAAUAUAGAAGCAAAAAAAGAAAGAAAACAGAAAUACGUAAAAGAAAACGAAAACAGAGUCAAUCAUAUUGGAUUAGCACAUUGCAUACGUCAUGCAUAUCUAACCUCUCAUAAUUAC